UACGUAGGGGGCCGAGCGUUGUCCGGAGUUAUUGGGCGUAAAGCGCGUGUAGGCGGCCCGAUAAGUCCGCUGUGAAAGUCCAGGGCUCAACCCUGGGAUGCCGGUGGAUACUGUCGGGCUCGAGUCCGGAAGAGGCGAGUGGAAUUCCUGGUGUAGCGGUGAAAUGCGCAGAUAUCAGGAGGAACACCAAUGGCGAAGGCAGCUCGCUGGGACGUGACUGACGCUGAGACGCGAAAGCGUGGGGAGCAAACAGG
rnacentral:rRNA from 1 species